AGGGUUUGAUCAUGGCUCAGAGCGAACGCUGGCGGCGUGCUUAACACAUGCAAGUCGAGUGCGCGCCUGUAGCAAUACAGGUGGCGCACGGCGCACGGGUGCGUAACACGUGGGUAAUCUGCCCUUCGAUGGGGAAUAACUCGCCGAAAGGCGAGCUAAUUCCGCAUAACAUUCCGGGAACCUCGGUUCCUGGAUUCAAAGGCGUAAGUCGUCGGAGGAGGAGCCCGCGCACGAUUAGCUAGUUGGUAGGGUAACGGCCUACCAAGGCUAUGAUCGUUAGCUGGUCUGAGAGGAUGGCCAGCCACACUGGAACUGAGACACGGUCCAGACUCCUACGGGAGGCAGCAGUGGGGAAUCUUGCACAAUGGGCGAAAGCCUGAUGCAGCGACGCCGCGUGGGGGAUGAAGCUUUUCGGAGUGUAAACCCCUUUCGACCCGGACGAAUGCCCCGCAAGGGGAUUGACGGUACGGGUAUAAGAAGCCCCGGCUAACUACGUGCCAGCAGCCGCGGUAAGACGUAGGGGGCCAGCGUUGCUCGGAAUUACU
rnacentral:rRNA from 1 species